rnacentral:rRNA from 1 species
GCAGUCGAACGAUGAAGCGCCAGCUUGCUGGUGUGGAUUAGUGGCGAACGGGUGAGUAACACGUGAGUAACCUGCCCCCUACUCUGGGAUAAGCCUGGGAAACUGGGUCUAAUACUGGAUAUGACCAAUCACUGCAUGGUGUGUUGGUGGAAAGAUUUUUUGGUGGGGGAUGGACUCGCGGCCUAUCAGCUUGUUGGUGGGGUAAUGGCCUACCAAGGCGACGACGGGUAGCCGGCCUGAGAGGGCGACCGGCCACACUGGGACUGAGACACGGCCCAGACUCCUACGGGAGGCAGCAGUGGGGAAUAUUGCACAAUGGGCGAAAGCCUGAUGCAGCGACGCCGCGUGAGGGAUGACGGCCUUCGGGUUGUAAACCUCUUUCACCAGGGACGAAGCUAACGUGACGGUACCUGGAGAAGAAGCACCGGCUAACUACGUGCCAGCAGCCGCGGUAAUACGUAGGGUGCGAGCGUUGUCCGGAAUUAUUGGGCGUAAAGAGCUUGUAGGCGGUUUGUCGCGUCUGCUGUGAAAGACCGGGGCUUAACUCCGGUUCUGCAGUGGGUACGGGCAGACUAGAGUAUGGUAGGGGAGACUGGAAUUCCUGGUGUAGCGGUGAAAUGCGCAGAUAUCAGGAGGAACACCGAUGGCGAAGGCAGGUCUCUGGGCCAUUACUGACGCUGAGAAGCGAAAGCAUGGGGAGCGAACAGGAUUAGAUACCCUGGUAGUCCAUGCCGUAAACGUUGGGCGCUAGGUGUGGGGCUCAUUCCACGAGUUCCGUGCCGCAGCUAACGCAUUAAGCGCCCCGCCUGGGGAGUACGGCCGCAAGGCUAAAACUCAAAGGAAUUGACGGGGGCCCGCACAAGCGGCGGAGCAUGCGGAUUAAUUCGAUGCAACGCGAAGAACCUUACCAAGGCUUGACAUACACCGGAAUCA